rnacentral:misc_RNA from 1 species
GAUGAAGAACGCAGCGAAAUGCGAUAAGUAAUGUGAAUUGCAGAAUUCAGUGAAUCAUCGAAUCUUUGAACGCACAUUGCGCCCGCUAGUAUUCUGGCGGGCAUGCCUGUUCGAGCGUCAUUUCAACCCUCAGGCCCCCAGUGCCUGGCGUUGGGGAUCGGCCGCUGGCGUCCUUCGGGGCGCCUGGCCGGCCCCGAAAUCUAGUGGCGGUCUCGCUGUAGUCCUCCUCUGCGUAGUAGCACAACCUCGCAGUUGGAACUCGGAGGUGGCCAUGCCGUUAAACACCCCACUUCUGAAAGUUGACCUCGGAUCAGGUAGGAAUACCCGCUGAACUUAAGCAUAUCAAUAAGCGGAGGA